UCGUUCGGCAUUCGACUCGUUGACCAGCGAGAGCAGCCAACAAGCAGUGAUCCACAGCAUGAAGUUUUCUCCCGCAGAUCCUCUUUGAUCGCGGCUUCAGUUCAUGGCAGGACUGAUGGCGUGUCAAUGGCGGAUGGAGAUCUGAAAGAAGAACCUGAAGUCCAUAUCUCGUCUUUCAGCUGUGGAGGAGGUGGCUACAUAUGAUCUCGUCUUUCAGCUGUGGAGGAGGUGGCUACAUAUGAUACAGAAGACCAUAUUUUUGCUGACGGUGAUGACUCCACAAACGCGAGCAGCUGCUGAAAGUCAACUACCAAAGUCGCUCGUGGAUCCACCACCGACGACGAUGAUGGCGCCACACCAGCUAAGCGGGCGCGCCUUGAUGAAUGAAAAAUCUGCGGGAUGUGGUAACAGCUGAUAAGAUGGAGCUACGACUCCAUAAGUAGAAAGCCGUGACAAGAUUAGCCCACUAUUUGGUUUGCCUGAAAUAAUAAAUGUAGUUGUCGUUUUCCCCCUUUACCGCUUUAGUACAGAAGUGCAAGCGUAGGAAAUUGUAUUGUGUUAGGUUUGUAUGGAGAACUGAAUGUAGGUCCCACCACGCCUAGCUGGAUUGUAUGGUUUCUGCUUAAUGUAGUUCACCGUUCGUGAAAA